rnacentral:other from 1 species
GUCAACCUGCCGUGCGCGUGAUCCGCACAUAGGUUUUGAGCCAACACCCAACCUAUGGGCAUCACAGUCCAGGCAUGAACGCAUUAGGACUCGUUCUAAAGCAGGAAUGUUUGGCAGAUGACCCACCUGCGAAAGCAGGUUCAAAACGUCGCGGCACACGGCAUGGCGGGAGGUCU